CAUGUUGCCCGUUAACAUAGGGAACUAGUUAUUGUAAAGUUUCUCCGUAAGCUCACUUAGUGCUGUCUAUAUAACGAAGUCCAUUUAAUGUUCACAUGUUUAAUCGUAUAAAAGUACAUAUAUAUAUAUAUAAUAUAUUUGAAGGUUCACAAUUAUAACUUCCAAUACAAAACGUUACUAAAUUCCAGCUCUAUAAAACAACAUGUUACUUCAAGCUACUACUCCAAUAUAAC
rnacentral:lncRNA from 1 species